rnacentral:rRNA from 1 species
UCUUUAAGCCAUGCCACCCUGAAUGUGCUUGAUCUCGUCUGAUCUUGGAAACUAAGAAGGGUCGGGCCUGGUUAGUACUUGGAUGGGAGACCAGCUAGGAAGACCAGGCGCUGUAGGUG